GCAGUCAGAGGCGAUGAAGGGCGUGCUAAUCUGCGAUAAGCGCCGGUAAGGUGAUAUGAACCGUUAUAACCGGCGAUACCCGAAUGGGGAAACCCAGUGUGACUCGUCACACUAUCAUUAACUGAAUCCAUAGGUUAAUGAGGCGAACCGGGGGAACUGAAACAUCUAAGUACCCCGAGGAAAAGAAAUCAACCGAGAUUCCCCCAGUAGCGGCGAGCGAACGGGGAGGAGCCCAGAGCCUGAAUCAGCAUGUGUGUUAGUGGAAGCGUCUGGAAAGGCGCGCGAUACAGGGUGACAGCCCCGUACACAAAAGCGCAUGUGCUGUGAGCUCGAUGAGUAGGGCGGGACACGUGGUAUCCUGUCUGAAUAUGGGGGGACCAUCCUCCAAGGCUAAAUACUCCUGACUGACCGAUAGUGAACCAGUACCGUGAGGGAAAGGCGAAAAGAACCCCGGCGAGGGGAGUGAAAAAGAACCUGAAACCGUGUACGUACAAGCAGUGGGAGCACCCUUUGGGUGUGACUGCGUACCUUUUGUAUAAUGGGUCAGCGACUUAUAUUCUGUAGCAAGGUUAACCGAAUAGGGGAGC
rnacentral:rRNA from 1 species